GAAGUCUCCAGGAGAAACCCUUGGAUUUAGGUGUGAAACUGAAUAAUCACAAGGUCUUGCGCCCAAAUGUUACAAUCCUCGUGCCAACAAAGCAAUAAAGGAAAACAAAAAGUGGUCGAUGACAAUAAUAAGUCCCACAAAACUGGGCCCAAUGGCAUGCCACCGACUCAGACAG